GCCUGAGUGGCUCAGUCGGUUAAGCAUCUGACUUCAGCUCAGGUCAUGAUCUCACUGAGGUCUGUGAGUUUGAGCCCCAUGUCGGGCU
rnacentral:tRNA from 1 species